rnacentral:tRNA from 1 species
GCCUUGGUGGUGUACUGGUCAGCAUGCUAGGCGUGUAUUCCAGUGGUCCUUGGUUCGACUCCUGGCGAAGGCG